CGACUCUCGGCAACGGAUAUCUCGGCUCUCGCAUCGAUGAAGAACGUAGCGAAAUGCGAUACUUGGUGUGAAUUGCAGAAUCCCGUGAACCAUCGAGUUUUUGAACGCAAGUUGCGCCCGAAGCCACUCGGCCGAGGGCUCGUCUGCCUGGGCGUCACGUAU
rnacentral:rRNA from 1 species